ACACGCUAGAGCGCCCGACUGUGGUCCGCAGAUAAGGUUACGUAAUUUCAGGCCACAUCUGAAUCACGACAUGGAUAUAUAUUUGUCAUUAGCGUACCAGUCCCCCGGGACGGCGUGAUCGAGGACUUUAGACCUCACAACUUAUGCACAGCGUGUCCCUGUGGCAGUCGAUCUAUAAUCAGGGCAUUUGACGAUAACAGGUGAGAUCUCCCAGUACCUUGCAACGAAUUUGAGCUUGGACAGGACGGGACCGCACCAGCGAGAUGAGCGUGAGUGAAUCGUACAUUGCUUGAAACGAUAGUAAUGGACAUAUUACCUUUUUGGGCAAUAUGGGGUAUUGCCUUCCCAUUUAAGGCAGUACAUUUAUAGGGGCUAGUGUCAUACAAUGCUCUCUUUUGAAUUUCAUUUAUCUGAUGGCUUCAAAUUUUCAAAUUCUCUUAGAAGACCCAUAAUACUAGUGCCAGCCGGCUUUGUCGUGCUGUCAUUGGGUCCCCUACCCACAACGCUAUAAUCACACAAAAUGCCUCAACCAGCAAUGAAUCGUUCGAACGCCUUGGGGGGUCAUGGUAUAUUCACACAUCGGUUGUUUUCGAGGGGAAAAAAGUGUCGUGGAAUGAGUAGUAUCCGGAAUCGUGUCACUGAGCUACUUGAUGUCAGUGAGAGUGAGCACGGUGGGAGUGUAUGUGUUUAGACCUUACCAUGAAAAAGCCAAUGUAGCCAUCCCACCAUGGAGAAUAAUAUCACACAGCUUACUAGAGCCAUGAGGUAAAGGUUUCG
rnacentral:lncRNA from 1 species